CUGAAGACCGAGUGGUUGCAAGGACAAAAACAGGUUGCUUGAACCAGCCUAGGCAGAGAGGAUUUGUAUAACAUGGAUACAAAAGAGUCUUCCGCCAAUGUGAACAAGAAAAAUCCUUCAUACUCACGAGUUCAAGUAACUAGUAGAAACCACCUUCAGCAGCAACAACAAUACUUUCAUAUGCAACUGAUGUGUAAAUCCGUGGCUAUGAGCAUGAACUGCUCCUCCCUUAUUAUUUGUUAACUUUGUCACUUUGUAAACAAAAUUGAUUUUUCAGCAUAAUUGGUCAUUCUUGAUUCUAGUAAACUAUAACAAGUUGAUCAAUUUCCUUCUUUUUUGUGAAGGUUCUAUUAGGAACUGGAAAGCGAUGUUGAAAACCUUCUGUUAUGAUAUUGAUUUGUUAUUUCAUGUGUUGUAGAACUCUUUUUUGGAGUGAAUUAUUGGGAUGCUGGAAUUUAGAUUCUUGAUGGAGUUUUGAUUAUUCAUUAAGAUUGUUUUGUAGGAUUUAUGUAAUAGGAUGAACUUGUAUGAAAAUGUUGAGAAAUGCAAUUUGGAAC
rnacentral:lncRNA from 1 species